UACGAAGGGUGCGAGCGUUAAUCGGAAUUACUGGGCGUAAAGCGUGCGCAGGCGGUUUUUUAAGAUAGGCGUGAAAUCCCCGGGCUCAACCUGGGAACUGCAUUUGAAACUGGAAAACUAGAGUGUGUGAGAGGGGGGUAGAAUUCCAAGUGUAGCGGUGAAAUGCGUAGAGAUUUGGAGGAAUACCAGUGGCGAAGGCGGCCCCCUGGCACAACACUGACGCUCAGGUGCGAAAGCGUGGGGAGCAAACAGG
rnacentral:rRNA from 1 species